rnacentral:rRNA from 1 species
AUACAUAGGGGGCAAGCGUUAUCCGGAAUUAUUGGGCGUAAAGCGUGCGUAGGCGGUUUAUUAAGUCUGGUGUGAAAUUUUACAGCUUAACUGUAAAGGGUCAUUGGAAACUGGUAAACUUGAGUACGGUAGGGGCAAGUGGAAUUCCAAGUGGAGCGGUGGAAUGCGUAGAUAUUUGGAGGAACACCAGUAGCGAAGGCGGCUUGCUGGGCCGGAACUGACGCUGAGGCACGAGAGCGUGGGGAGCAAACAGGAUUAGAUACCCUGGUAGUCCACGCUGUAAACGAUGAGUAUUAAGUGUCGGACAUAAGUUCGGUGCUGUCGUUAACACAAUAAAUACUCCGCCUGGGGAGUACGGUCGCAAGACUGAA